rnacentral:snRNA from 1 species
GGCUUUGCACAGUGGUAGUAUAGUAGCCAAUGGUAGCCAAUGAGGUUAACCAAGGCACGAUUAUUGCUAACUAAAAACUUUUCCCAAUACCCUGCCAUGACAACUUGCACUAUAGUCAGCAUUGGCAAUUUUUGAUGGUCCCUACAGGGC